rnacentral:lncRNA from 1 species
CACCGGUCUUCCUCCGCCGCCACUCCUCCUCUUCCCCUUCCCCUUCCCGACCACGGUGCCGCCCUAGGAGCCGCCGAGCUGUAGCCCCCGCGAGCGAAGUGCCGCACAGCAUCGCCCUCCUGCGCCCAUCUCCUACUCUGGCGCCGAUUUGGAUCGAGGAGGGCCUCCCCUGCUAUGGACUUGGGAUACGACAAGGAGAAAGGGGAGGAGAAGAAGGGU